rnacentral:rRNA from 1 species
UACGGAGGAUGCGAGCGUUAUCCGGAUUUAUUGGGUUUAAAGGGUGCGUAGGCGGGAUGCCAAGUCAGCGGUAAAAAUGCGGUGCUCAACGCCGUCGAGCCGUUGAAACUGGGGGCCUUGAGUGGGCGAGAAGAAGGCGGAAUGCGUGGUGUAGCGGUGAAAUGCAUAGAUAUCACGCAGAACCCCGAUUGCGAAGGCAGCCUUCCGGCGCCCUACUGACGCUGAGGCACGAAAGUGCGGGGAUCGAACAGG